rnacentral:misc_RNA from 1 species
UAAUAAGUGUUUUAUGGCACUUUUUAACUCCAUAUCCACCUUGUGUGCAAUGUCAGUCGAUCUUCUUCAUGGAGAUCGACCAAACAUCAACCUUUAUUUUUUAACUCUUUGUCUGAAAAAUAUUAUGAAUAAACAAUUCAAAAUA